UACGAAGGGGGCUAGCGUUGUUCGGAAUUACUGGGCGUAAAGGGCGCGUAGGCGGCGUGUCAAGUCAGGCGUGAAAGCCCCGGGCUCAACCUGGGAACCGCGCUUGAGACUGGCAUGCUCGAGUUCGGGAGAGGAUGGUGGAAUUCCCAGUGUAGAGGUGAAAUUCGUAAGAUAUUGGGGAAGAACACCGAUGGCGAAGGCAGCCAUCUGGACCGACACUGACGCUGAGGCG
rnacentral:rRNA from 1 species